rnacentral:tRNA from 1 species
GCCUUUUUAGCUUAAAGGUAAAGCUUUUCAUUAGUAAUGAAAAUAAUAGCAGUUCGAAUCUGCUUUAAGGCA